GCCAUUUGGGGAGUGCACGGCGGUUGGGCGCGGGGCAUAUUUGGCUGUGACGCCCAACCUGGGUUUCUAUCGCCCUAUCCCCUAGGGCUCAUCUGAGACCUAAGAUGGCGGCGUUUGCAUAAUGUGAAAGCGAUGCAGGCGUACCAGAUUGGAGAGGCAGGCAAAGGAUGUAUCUGCUAAGGAAGGUUCGGGAACUCGCCAAUACUUGUGGCCUCUCUAUUCCCUGAAAAACAAUAAUGAAGUUAGGCCAGUGAAUACCCUACAGUGGUUCAAGUGAAAGGAGGAAAAAUCACACAUCUCUCACUUUAAAUCAAAGGUAGAUCACAUCCAAAAAAUAAAAUACCUAGAAUAAACCUACCAAAGGAGGCAAAAGACCUGUAUUCCAAAAACUCUUAAGAAGCUGAUGGAAUAAAUUGAAGAUGACACAAACAGAUGGAAGAAAUACCAUGUUCUUGGAUUGCAAGAAUCAGUAUUGUCAAAGUGACCAUACUGCCCAAGACAAUCUAAAUUUUCAGUGCAAUCCCUAUCAAAUUUAUCAAUGGCAUUUUUCUCAGAAGUGGAGCAAAAUUUUUAAAAAUUUUAUGGAAACAUAAAAGACCUUGAAUAGCCGAAACAAUCUUGAGAAAGAAGAGCAGAACUGGAGGAAUCGUGCUCCUUGACUUCAGACUAUACUACAAAGCUACAGUACUCAAAACAGAAUGAUAUUGGGGGGAUGGAACCAGACAUAUUAUAGAUCAAUGGAUAGAAAGCCCAGAAAUAAACCCAUGCCCUUUGGUCAAUUAAUCUACAACAAAGGAGGCAAGAACAUACAAUGGAAAAAAGACAGUCUCUUCAAUAAACCAUGCUGGGAAAAUUGGACAGCUACAUGUGAAAGAAUGGCACAAUGAAUUAAGUAUACAGUGUUGUCACUGCAGCAUCUCAGGUCACUGCUGUGGCGUGGGUUUGAUCCCUGGCCUGGGAACUUCUACAUGCCAUGGGUGUGGCCAAAAAGACAGCCCAAAUCCUCCCAAAUAACCAUGAGAUACCACUUCAUACUGUGCCUAUAAAAUGGAAAAUAACAAAUGUCAGUAAUGAUGUGGAAAAGUUAAAAUUUUUGUUCCUUUUGGAGUUCCUGUCAUGGCUCAGUGGUUAACGAAUCCAACUAGGAACCAUGAGGUUGUGGGUUUGACCCCUGGCCUCGCUCAGUGGGUUAAGGAUCCAGCGUUGCUGUGGCUGUGGUGUAGGCUGGUGGCUACAGCUCCGAUUCGACCCAUAGCCUGGGAACCUCCACAUGCUGCAAGUGUGGCCCUAAAAGCAAAAAAAAAAAUUGUUCUUUUUAUGGGGGACAUCAAAUAGUGAGGCUACUGUGAAGAACAGUAUUGUAUUUCCUAAAAAAUUUAAAUAUAGAAUUUUUGUGACCCCAAUUCCAUAUCAUGUAUAGUCCUAAGUUAAAGGAAUAUUAAUGUUCAAGUAAACAUUUUGUAUGGAAAUAUGUACAGCCACAACUAUUUGCCAUAGGCAAAGGGUGAAAUUGUUUCAAAUAUCCACGAGUAGAUGAAUGGCUAGAGAAAGUGGUAUAUUCAUAAAAUGCAGUAUUAUUCAUCCAUAAAUAGGAAUCAAUUACAGAUACAUAGUAUGUCAUGGAUGUUCAUCUUAAUCAUUGUGCUAAGUGAAAGAAACCAGACACAUAAGGGCCUUAUUCUAUUUACAUGGAAUAUGAAGAAGAGGUAAAUCAGUAGGGGCAAAGCAGAUUAGUGGUUGUCAGUGACUAGAGAGGGUACAGGGAAUGGAGAAUGGAGAAUUUUGACCAUAGUGAUGAUUGCACAAAGGCCCCUGAAUUGUAUUAAAAUGGUGAGUUUUAUGUAUGUGAAUUUUACCUCAUUUUUAAAAAUAAAGGAAUUAAUCAUUUAAAAAAAAAUACGUGGUGGGCAAGAUAUAGCUCCCUGGGUAUAGUUUAUUGACUCUUGGUAUUGUUUAUUCAUGGCUAUUUGCAUUGCAACAUAUUUAUUACAAAUAUUUUUUAAUGAGACAGUCUAAAGACAUAUUUAGAAUGUAGUAGGAUAUAAGUUGUCACAAAAUGCUGGCUUUCAAAAUUUAUAUACAAAUCAUUAGAAUCAAUAUGCUGUUAGCCCUGUAGAGGAUUGGCAAAGACUUGAGCAUGUCCCACAUAAACCACAGUUGUAGGUCCUCAAGUUUAUUUGGCAACAGAGAAACAGCAAAAAUUAUAAGCAGUCCUAAUGUAUACUUUCUAGAAUGGGUCCAAUAAAAUGGAUUGAGGAUUCUAAAUAUUGGUGAGUAUUUUACUAACCAGUAUCUUUUACACAGGGAUGGUGUGAGUAUAAUUGGGGAUAGUCACAUUGGAAAACUUUUCAUGAUACGCCAUAAUACUGAACAUGCUCAUAUUUUCUGACUUAGAAAUUUCACUACAGUGUAUAUGCUUAUCAAGAUUGAUGUGUAUAUGUUCCCUAAAGACAUGUUAAUGUCUGUAGCAUUAUUAUUCUUAAUGGCUGGCUCUAAGCUGGAAAACAUGCAAAUGACUGUCAACAGAAUAGACACAUCAAUGGUAGUGGUGUUUCCUUUUUGUGGAUUACUACACAUUAUUGAAAUAGAACAAACUGCAACUACAUGUUAUGCAGUUAUCUCCUAUUAUUUUCAGCAAAGCAGCAGAAUGUAUUAACCAAAAGUUGGAAUAGUGGUUCAUCUGGGUAAAAAUGUAAUUAAUUAUAGCAGUGCACAUGUCACUUUAAUGAUGCCAAUAAUUUUUUCAAGUUUGUUAAAUUAUUCUUUGUGUACGUAUAUAAUUUAUACAGUCUUCUGUGUAUCAUAUUUUAUAAUAUAAUAAAAAUAAAAUUUCACUCAAAUACCAAUUUUUGAGGAUCCUUCUCAGGAUGUAUGGGUAUACCUUGGAGAUAUUGUGGGUUCAGUUCCAGACAACCACAGUAAAGUAAAUAUCACAAUAAUUUGAGUUACAUGAGUUUUGUUGAUUUACUAGUGCACAUAAAAGUCAAGUUUGCACUGUACUGUAGUUUCUUCUGUACAAUAGCAUCAUGUCUAAAAAAAAAGUACAUACCUUAAUUUAAAAAUUUUUGGAGUUCCUGUCGUGGUGCAGUGGAAAUGAAUCCAACUAGGAACCAUGAGGUUGUGGGUUCGAUCCCUGGCCUCCACUCAGCUGGUUAAGGAUGUGGUGUUGCUGUGAACUGUGGUGUAGGUCGCAGACGUGACUCGGAUCUGGUGUUGCUGUGGCUGGCAUAGGUCAGCAGCUACUGCUCCAAUUAGACCCCUAGCCUGGGAACCUCCAUAUGCCAUGGGUGUGGCCCUAAAAAUGACAGAAAUGAAAAUUCAUUGCUGAAAAAUGCUAAGCAUCAUCUGAGCCUUUAUCAAGUUAGUCGUGACAUCAAAAAUUACUGAUCAUCAUAAAAAAUAUAAUUGCAAAAAAGUUUUAAGUAUAUACUUCUGAAGUUUCUCCUAAUGGCAUACAGCAAAUGAUGAAAUAUUUAAGAGUUUUCUUGAAACUGAAGAGCAAGAUUGUGUGACAUUCAAACUACCACUCACUCAUUCUUCCCAUUUCAACUCAUUAGGAUGACUCUACUCUAAGUAUUGGAGCCAAAAAUAAAAAUAUCUCUGUCUUUUAGCUAGCAGUUCAGGUCUGAAGUCCAGAAUGGGAUGAUGCCAAAAUUUCUUAUUCUCCAGCUCAGUUUUGUAGAUCCUCAGUUCCACACAAUUGCAGCUGACAGGAUGAAGAUUUAUUCCUCUCCUCCCCACUCAGACACAUUGAAUAGGAGCUCUUCCUCAGGCUUAGUAUCCUUAGAAUACUGAACCCCCUGUCUUCACCGUAGGUCAUUUGUACCUUUGAAGUUCCAUAUUAGGUGGGGCAAAUUGAGAACACAGCAAUCCCCCAGUUUAAUACUUAAAAAUCUGUAUUGUCACUUUGGGGAUAGGUUGUCACUAUCUCUCUAGCUCUUUGGAUCUGGGUGACAGAUUCUGUUAAGUAGGACAGGCAGAACAUAAGAAUAGAGAGCCCUGAAGCCCUCCCUAAUGCACCUACUUUUAUUUUAUUUUACUUUAUUAUUUUACUUUAUAUUUUUAUAACUGCACCUGAGGCACAUAAAAGUUCCUGGGCUAGGAGUUGAAUUGAAGCUAUAGCUGCAGGCCUAUGCCACAGUCACAGCAAUGUUGGAUAUGAGCUACAUCUGCAACCUCUGCCACAGCUUGCGGCAGUGCUGGAUCCUUAACCCACUGAGCAAGGCCGGGGAAUUGAACCUGCAUCCUUAUGGACACUAUGUUGGGUUCUUAACCCACAAUGGGAACUCCCUAAACUACCGUUAUUUUAAAGAGUAUGGUGACAUUGAAGCCUAUGGGCAAACCCCAAAAUGGUAGAUAUUUCAGUAGUAAGUAAUUAGAUAGCUGGUACUUCAUGAGUGCAACCUGCCUAACUGUAGGCUAGCUAAUUUUCCACAGAGAACCAUGAAAAGCAUUGAGAGCAUUCCUUUUGUCUGAACAAAUACUGGCAUCAGUCACUACCACUGCAGUGGGCCUGAAUUUAACUGUAUUAGGAUAUUUAGUAAUAUAUGUUAUAAAUCAUAAAAAAAGAACUUGUAUUUAGUGUAGCCAACAGCUCAAUUUGUUCAAGACUAGAGACCACUUGACUCCUUGUAUAUUUGUCAUUCCAGGAUAACUGGACAUUUCCAGGGCUAAACCCUCUGAGAAGCAAUAUCAUAAGCUUAACAUUGUGUGAGAAAUAGACUUCAGUAAGAGUCCAGUGAAUCACUAAACAUUAAAAAUUUAAUUGAUAACUACCAUCCCUGGAGUUGUGCUUAACUAGCCAAUAUUGCUACCAUCAUUUAUGUCUUUUUUCCAACUGCAAAAAAAAUUGAGACAUGCAAAAAAAAAAAAAAAUGUGACCAUUAGCUGAAGAGGUUAGCAACAGAACCUGCAUUUGAAGGCCUAUGUGCCUAGUUUAGCAGAAAAUUCUUUUAAAUCAGUCGUUAUAUAUUCAAGGAACUUGAGGAAACUAUACUUAAAGAUGUACAUUAAUGUUAGGUUGUUGUGGUAGUGACAGUCUACAUAUGUGAUAAAAUGGCAUGGGAAUUAAGUUAUAGACACACUUUGUACAAAUAGAGAUUUUCUGGUUUUGAUAUUCUACUAUAGGUAUUGUUAAAAAUGUUACUGUUAGAGAAAAAUUGAUGAGAAGUAUGAGCAUCCUUUUAGUACUGUUAUUCAACAUCCUGUUUCUCCAUAAUUAAACAUCAUUUUUUGAAAAUAUGUCACCUAGAAAAACCCCAAAGAACACCCAGUUUCAAUAGAGUAACAAAGAUACGAGUAAUAGAAAAAUUAUAAACUAUAUGAAAUGGGUGGACUGGCAAGAUUAUAGAACAAAGACACUUAUCUGGAUUAUUCCUCAAUUUAGAUGCAGUUAAUUAUAGAUUUUCAACAUACAUGAAACAAAAAAUGGAAAGAAAUAGAUCCACAAUUAUUCUUGGAGACUAACUUUCCUCUCUCAUUACUUAUUAAUAUUCAUUGUCUUAUUCAUAUAUUAAGAUAGAAAAUAUGGACACGAAAGAACACUGUCAAUCACCUUGACUUAAAUGACAUUUAUGGAACACUCCACCCAACAAUAGUAGAUUCCAGGUUUACUUGAAACAUCUAGCAAUUUUCACCAUAUGCUCAGCUAAAAGAAUAUCUCAUCCAGUGUAAUAUAAUCAUAGAAAGUAUUAUUUGUUGUAAUAAUUGGAAUUAAAUUAGAAAUCAGUAAUAGAAACAUCUAGUAUUCCCCCUACUGUUUGGAAAUUAAACAACAAUCUCUUCAAAAGCUAAUUGGUAUAAGACAUAUUGGAAAUUAGAAAAUAUUUUGAACUGAAUAAAGCAGACAUGCAAGUUAUCAAAACUGGGAUGUUUCUAGGAGUUCCCUUUGUUUUUAAAAAUAGUUUUGUGGUUGCAGUUCCUGUUGUGGCUCAGCGGGUUCCAAACCUGACUAGUAUCCAUUUGGAUGUGGGUCCGAUCCCUGGCCUUUCUCAGUAGGUUGAAGAUCCGGCAUUGCUGUGAGCUGUGGUGUAGGCCAGCAGCCGCAGCUCCAAUUCAACCCCUUGCCUGGGAACUUCAUAUGCCACAAGUGUGGCCCUAUAAAAAAAAGAAAAACAAAAAAAGGUUUUGUGGCAGACAAACCAUAAGGUAACCCCCAAUGAUUCUUGUUAUCUAGUGUUCACACCUCUAAUCAUCUGUCUCCCCUUCUGUGCACAAAGUAACAAGUUCUUACUAAUGGCAAAAGUGAUGGAAUGUCACUCCCUUGAUUAUGUUAUGUUAUAUGGGAGAAAUCACUUUUAUUAUUAUGUCAUGUUAUAUAAAACUAUCUCAUCAGGCUAUAGGAAGAAACUGUUUGCUGGUUUGUCAAUGUAAGCAGUUAUAUUAUAGAGGCACAUGAGAACAGAAGCUAUGUGCAUCAUCUAGGACCUAAGGAACUUUGGUUAUGUAUCCACAAGAACAUAAUUCUGUCAACAACCUGAAUAAAUUUGGAAGUAUAUUCUUUCCCAGGUAUUCCUCCAGAUCAGAUUCCAGCUCAGCCAGUACUUUGAUUAUAGUCUUGUGUGACCCUAAACAGAGGAUCCAACUAAAUUGUCCUAAAUUGUGGCCCACAGAAAACAUGAUGUGAUAAAUAUGUGUUGUUUAAAGCUGUUAACUUCAUGGUAAUUGUUAGGCAGGAAUAGAAAAUGAAUAUAAGGUUUAAUGUGAAUCUUAGUUGGAUCUCCGUAAAUUAUCUUUCAAAAAAUUUUUUUUCCAAGGUCAUAAUUUAAUCCUGAUUUACCAUAUUGAGAACCCAAUGAGGAAUCCCCAUGACAUAAAAUGGGGAAAGGCUAUUUUGCCUUGAAUGACAUUUUCUAAAUAUUAAAUACACCCACAGAGAUUGUCUUCACAUUAAGUGGCAGGAGAGUCUGUCAUAUAAAUCGACCAAGAUGGCCCAAGUAUAUUGGCCCUACAUUUUUUUUCCUUUUUAUUUUUGUUUUUUUGUCUUUUUUCUAGGGCUGCUCCCACGGCAUAUGGAAGUUCCCAGGCUAGGGGUUGAAUCGGGGCUGCAGCCUCCGGUCUACGCCAGAGCCACAGCAACACAGGAUCCGAGCCACCUCUGCAACCUACACCACAGCUCACGGCAAUGCCGGAUCCUUAACCCACUGAGCAAGGCCAGGGAUCGAACCUGCAACCUCACGGUUCCUAGUCAGAUUCGUUAACCACUGUGCCACGACGGGAACUCCAUAUUUUACAAAACUUUUAUGACUUUACACAUUUUACACAAUUGCUUUAAAUGUAGCACUUAUAAAGCAGAUUUUUAACCUUUUAGGGAUUGCCUGAUUUGCAUGUUUGGUGAAAUUGUUCUUGUAAAUCUGUUAGCCACAGGUAAGGUACGUCCUGGUGCUCUUAAUGACCCCCAAGCCACUGAUGCCCUUCAGUGCUCUCUGAACGAAGACCCCAUCUUGCUGCUGAGUGAUAGCACUUAGAUAAUAAGUCUCUUCUCUUAUUCCCUUAUUUCCUGGGAGUUCUUUGGCCUUCCUCUCCUGAGAGGUGCAGAAAUUCAACAUAACCCAUCCUUACUACAAAACUAUUAAAGUACCUCCCAAAUAAAGCUCAUUUUGUGUUAUUGCCACAUUGUGGUUAUAUAUUUGUCCUAGAUCAGCUCAGAAAUCCCCAAUCUCACUGCAGAAAUUGACACUUAUUAUAAUUGUCUCCAUUUCUAUAGUGAUCAUUUUAGAGGUAUAACAGAAAGCCGUCUAUGUCUAGAAUCCAUUUGGAUAAUCUUUGACCUGUUCUGCAGAUAUCCUGUUUGAUUAGCAUUGAAAAGAUUAUCAUCUAGUAUAUUUUUCAAGAAUGCUCUUAAAAUUUUAAUACGUUUGUUUUCUUUACAAGUAGAUUUAUGAGCUAUCUACUGUUGUGUAGCAAAUUUUCCAAAAUUUUAUGGUUUAAAACAAGAAACAUCAGUUAUAGUUCGUAGGGUUUAGGAAUUCAAGUGUAGUUUAGCUAACAGUUCUGGCACAGCAUUUCUCAGAAUAUUUGAGCCAGAGAGUCUGUUGAGACUGCAAUCAUCUGAUGAUUUUACUAGGUUGUAGGAUUUGCUUAUAAAAUUGCUCAAUCACAUUGCUUUUGGUAGGAACACUUCAUUCCUUCUGUGUGGGCUUUAGCCUAUAGCAGUUGGCUUUUCCCAGAGAGAAUAAUCCAAGAGAGAGCAAGGAAAAAGCCUAAAUUGCCUUUUAUGAUACAGUCCUGUGUCAUGUGCUAUCACUUCCAGUUUUUUUCUGCUGGUUACAACUGAGUCACUGAAUACAACCCACUUUCGUAGGUUGAUAGUUGGACUUUACCACUUCAAAAAUGGAAUAUUGGAGAAUUUGGAUGUAUUUUUGAACCAUUAAAGGAGUGAUUUCAGGAAUAAUUGACAGAGAAACAGACUGAAAAUCUUGCCCCUUUAUAAAGUCAAUGAACAAAUGGCCAAAAUUGUCAGAAACUGUAUUUUUUUGAACUCUGGAAAUAAACCAAAUUCUUGAAUCAACCUGGGCAAUGCUUAUUCUGAAAGUGUAGCUUAUUCUCAAUAAGAAGAGCAAAUGUUGUGCCAUUUUAAUUUACCUCAGUCCCAUUCCCCAAUCCUUGGCUAAAUGGUAGCAAUAAAGAUAACAGCCCACUUGCCUGGAACUGGAGGGAGCAGGGCAGUUUUCAUUUAUAAAUAAAGAUAAUUAUUUGUUCUUACCUGUCUGGUGGCUACCUGUAGCACUGAUUCAGAAAUUUAAUCUUUAUUUCACCUAACUCAAAACUGACCUAGUGAUAAAUAUGUUUCCCAGGAAACAUAUGUUGAAAAUAUUGAAAGAUAAUGUCAGGUUGCCACUGCCUUAAGCAAUAGAUAACAGUUGGGACAUAUAAUACCCUAAGGAAAACACUUGAGAGGAAAGGCUGAGGAAUGAUAUAUCUGAAAGGGCUUUGAAAGCUCUGUCAAAUUCCUGGCAAUAUAGAAAGCCAUGUAUGUACUCGGCUGUGUGCUUACUGGGUUGGGGUUGGGGAGAGCCUGAGUAGACCCUAAAUCUCACCUCCUACUGACCCCGAGGCUAUUUGGGGUCAGGAAAUGAAGACAAAGGCAGAAUUGUAAACUUCCUGGCUUCGUGUUGAAGGUGUGCCCCCAACACAUAGAGCCCCUUGUCAAAAACAAAGCUUUUUUUGUCUUCAAAUGUUUAAGAAAAUAUGCCCAGUUAUUAGCGGACAGAACAGAGACUUCAGAGGCUAAAAUAGUAGUACAGAGACACAAGAACAGAAUUAGUUUUAAAAAGUCAUUAAGUGGGAGCUGGGAUGGGGGAAUUAGAUUAAGGUGGUCAAAAGGUUCAAACUUCCAGUUAUAAGAUAAAUUAAGUACUGGAGAUACAAUGUACAACAUGAUGACUGUAGUUAAUACUUCUAUAUGGUCUAUUUGAAAGUUGUUAAGAGAGCAGAUCCUAACAGUCCUCAUCAAAAGGAAAGUUUUUCUUUCUUUUUGUAUGUAUUGGUUUCAUUAAUGCCUUGCCCCUGAAGUCAGGAAAUACUUUGCCAGUAAUGGACUGCAAAUGCAAUGCCCCUGGCCAUCCAGAACCCCAUGAAGGUGAGUUCAACACUAAAGGCAUCAAAGUGGUUUAUGCCCCUGUAUACAAUGUCUCUAAUUCAGUCUUUAUCUCAGAAGGUCAUAAGGACCUUUAAGGUUCAUUACACACAGUACUUUAUGGAAAAGAUUGUCAGUGCUAUAGAAGGGAAUUCUGACAGAACAUCAUGGAAGUCUGGAUGAUAACACCACUGAAGAUGCUGUUGUUAUAGAAAAAGCCAUCAAGCCUGAAACAAUAAAUUCCUGCUGGAAAAAUCUUUGUCCAGAUGUGCAUGCCUUCACAGGAUUUAUGACAGCCAGUCAACGAAAUCAUGAAAAUAAUUGUGGAUAUGGCAAAAAAAAAAAAAAAAAAAAAAAAAAAGCAUGGGUCUGUGUUUCAGGAUAUGGAUCUUAGAGAAAUUCAAGAGCUAGUAGACACCACACUGGAGGAAUUAACAGAUGACAGGUUGAUGGAUAUGAAUGCUUCUGAACCAGUGCCAGACGAUGAGGGAGAAGAUGUAGAAGCAAUGCCAGAAAACAAAUUGAUGUUAGGCAAUCUAGCAUAAAGUUUCAACUAUUCAAGAUUACUUUUGACUUCACAAUGUGGACCCUCCUAUGAUAUGGGUGCUGAACCUAAAGCAAAUGGUAGAAGAAGAAUUGGUACUGUAUGGAACAGUUUUAGAGAAAUGGAAAACCAAAAAUCAGGAAAAAAUUAUGAUGUAUUUGUGUAAAUUUACACAGUGUGCCUGCCUCUCCUGCCUUCCCUGCAACCUCUGAGACAGCAAGACCAGUCCCCUCUUCUUCCUCCUCAAUCUACUCUACAUGAAGACAAUGAGGUUGAAGGCUUUUAUGAUGAUCCAGUUUCAUUUAAUGAAAACUUCAGUUUAAAAGUUUGGACAUUAAUAGCAGACUUGUUGUAAGUAAUAGCUUAUAAUAUACAUCAGUACUAUGUAAACUAACUGAAAGAUUGUGAAAAUUGAAGUAACACAAUCAUGUUCCUAUACAGAGUGAUCUUUUGUCUUUUCCUUUCUCUAAGCAUCACAGUUUUGAGUGGUUCCUGAAGAUUUUAAUCACAUUCCAGCAAGUCUCAAAGUCUCUUCAUCUUUGACACCGCCUGUACUGUUGAACUCUCUGGACCUUGUCUCAUACUUGGUCCAGUUUCUGUAUCUUUAGUAAUGAUAUAAUUAAGGAAAUUGAAUAUUAUCAAAUCCAUCCCAAUGCUAUAGAGGGUGGAGAAAAAUACAAGUAAACUAAAAUACAAGGACAAAAUCCUACUACAGUAAACCAUCGUGCAUAUAAAUAUCUAUGAAAUAAAAGAACCACAAAUAGAUUCAUAUGACUGUAGAGGGGAACUGAGGAAAAUGCAAUGAUAAUGCAAAAACAGGCUUAAGGAGAAUGAUCUACAAUAUAAAAAUUCACUUGCAGAGUUCCCUUUGUGGUUCAGUGGUUAACGAAUCUGACUAGGAACCAUGAAGUUGCAGGUUUGAUCCCUGGCCUUGCUCAGUAGGUUAAGGAUCCAGCGUUG